CGGGAGCAGUUUCUUCACAGAAGAAGAAGAAGAAGAAGCCAUAAUGGUUUCAAGCUGUCUAUUUUUUGCGCUGGUCUCCUAUACAAACAAUCACACCUCCUGACCCCAUUGAUCACUGAGCACAGAGUGCAGUUCCCAAUGGUCGAAACAGUGUAAAAUCCACAGUGUGGCAGCAGCCCUGGAAGCAAUAGUUAUGUCUGCAUGUGUUUUAAGUGGCCAUCUUUACUGGUUCUGAGACUGUGAAAAGACGCUGGAACUGGCUGCAGUCGAAGAGAGGUGACCAUGGUUGUUAACUGCAAUUGGCAAGAGGGCAUAAGAAAUAACAAUAAGCUUUUAUCUGAGAAAUCUAUAAAACUAAAUCCAGUGAAUGCUGAAUGUAACAAAAUAUUAGUUUAACUGCCUGUUUACAACCCGCCCAUAAAAAGGGGGGUAGUCUAUAAAAAAAGAUCCUGAAGCAACACUUCAUAGAAUUGAAGAGCAUGCCUUUUGUUUAACCAGAUGCUGUAAAUUUAACACAGUUACGUU